rnacentral:lncRNA from 1 species
GAACCAUUUAGUUCGAAAAUAAUAAAAAGUUGGGAAGAAGCAAAAAUAGUAGAUACGUUAGGAGCAAGAAUAAAAUAUUUACAACAAUGGUAUAGAAAUUUAUGUGAAAAAUAUAGAGAAGAAUUAAAAAUGGAAAAAACAUUAAUAAGAAAUUUAGCUUGUUGCAAAAAUAAAAUAGCACCCCAAUUUGGAUGCGAAGAAAGAUAUUAUAAGAAAAGAAAAAGACAUA